GACUGUGCGUCUGCGUGUGUAAACACAACAAUCCUGGGUGUGCAAUUCGUUCUCAUAUUGUUUCGAUACCGGAUACUGCGUGUUGUCCAAACUUCAUCCAGACGAGCGUCCGUCAGUUGUCGUAAAUAUGAUGCUAUGUGAUUUAUAUACAAAUAUCACAAAGUUCAUAUUUUUAUCUGAACUAGAACUGCCACCAUCAUGGCGUGAAUACCCCCGCAUACCACUUUGUCAGAAUCAACAGUGGCCAUUUAGAGCUCAAGGACAACCUCCCUGCCAAAUCUGAG